GCCCCCGUAGCUAAAUUGGCAAAAGCGCCCGACUUGGAAUCGGGUGCGGUUGACGCCGUUUGCGGGUUCGAAUCCCGCCGGGGGCA
rnacentral:tRNA from 1 species